rnacentral:rRNA from 1 species
GACAGAGGGGGCAAGCGUUGCUCGGAAUUACUGGGCGUAAAGGGCGCGUAGGCGGGAUGGCAAGUCGGUCGUGAAAUCCCUCGGCUCAACCGAGGAACGUCGAUCGAUACUGCUGUUCUUGAGGAUUGCAGUGGAGACUGGAAUUCCCGGUGUAGCGGUGAAAUGUGUAGAGAUCGGGAGGAACACCGGUGGCGAAGGCGGGUCUCUGGGCAAUUCCUGACGCUGAGGCGCGAAAGCGUGGGGAGCAAACGGG